rnacentral:autocatalytically_spliced_intron from 1 species
GCGAGAAGUCAGCAGAGGCCAUAGUAGUCGGAGGAGGUGCCGAAGGCGCUUGUACCCAGCCUCGCCGAUGAAGGGC